GACGAACGCUGGCGGCGUGCUUAACACAUGCAAGUCGAACGGAAAGGCCCUGCUUUUGUGGGGUUCUCGAGUGGCGAACGGGUGAGUAACACGUGAGUAACCUGCCCUUGACUUUGGGAUAACUUCAGGAAACUGGGGCUAAUACGGGAAAGGACUUCCUGCUGCAUGGUGGGGGUUGGAGAGUGUCGGCGGUUGGGGAUGGACUGGCGGCGUAUCAGCUUGUUGGUGGGGUAGUGGCCUACCAAGGCUUUGACGGGUAGCCGGCCUGAGAGGGUGACCGGCCACAUUGGGACUGAGAUACGGCCCAGCCUCGUAUGGGAGGCAGGAGUGGGGAAGAUUGCACAAUGGGCGGAAGCCUGAUGCGGCAACGCCGCGUGCGGGAUGACGGCAAUCGGGUUGGAAACCGCUUUCGCCUGUGACGAAGCGUGAGUGACGGUAAUGGGUAAAGAAGCACCGGCUAACUACGUG
rnacentral:rRNA from 1 species